AAACCAACUGGGAUUACCUUAGUAGCGGCGAGUGAAGCGGUAAAAAGCUCAAAUUUGAAAUCUGGUACUUUCAGUGCCCGAGUUGUAAUUUGUAGAAUUUGUCUUUGAUUAGGUCCUUGUCUAUGUUCCUUGGAACAGGACGUCAUAGAGGGUGAGAAUCCCGUGUGGCGAGGAGUGCGGUUCUUUGUAAAGUGCCUUCGAAGAGUCGAGUUGUUUGGGAAUGCAGCUCUAAGUGGGUGGUAAAUUCCAUCUAAAGCUAAAUAUUGGCGAGAGACCGAUAGCGAACAAGUACAGUGAUGGAAAGAUGAAAAGAACUUUGAAAAGAGAGUGAAAAAGUACGUGAAAUUGUUGAAAGGGAAGGGCAUUUGAUCAGACAUGGUGUUUUGUGCCCUCUGCUCCUUGUGGGUAGGGGAAUCUCGCAUUUCACUGGGCCAGCAUCAGUUUUGGUGGCAGGAUAAAUCCAUAGGAAUGUAGCUUGCCUCGGUAAGUAUUAUAGCCUGUGGGAAUACUGCC
rnacentral:rRNA from 1 species